rnacentral:lncRNA from 1 species
GGUAGUUGGUAGAAAGUGAAGAAGCAUCAAGAACAAGGCAAAUUUCCAACUCAAAGUAACGGAAAGCUACUUUCCAUAAGGGAAAAGAAAAACCUAGAAAACGUAGUUUUUCAAAAGCAAAGCAGAAGUCUUCAUUGGCCCUGUGGUUUCGGUGAUGCCUAGAGACGUUCCUGGGUGAUGCCAGACUGAAACUUAGACUGGAGAAUCUACGCUUCCCAUAUAUGUUCAGACCUGGAGAUAAAAUCCCAAGACUCAUGGCACCUCAAAUUCUAUUCAAGGACCUGUUCGCGAGCAUUCUCAUGGUGCUGCGUUCCAGAUUCUUGGUUAGUUCUCAAGCAAAUACAAGUGAGCAAGAAGAUCUUCCCACUAGGCUCUCACACCGAGUUCCUGGAUUGGGACAAAGGUAACAUUUAUGAUGACCAUCUGUUGAUUGUGAAGCCAGGAGGUACAGCGACGGGUCGAACAGGAAGUGCAUGCAUGAUUGUAAUAAAUCAAGACGCGUGUCUAUCAAAUGCCUCAGACACGCACAGGCACGGAAGUGACACUCGAUCCACAAGUAUUGAAGGAACGAAAGAAGCAAGCAGUCAAUAA